UCAGAAUCAGAAAUAUUUAUUGUGUAAACUGUGUAGGUACAAGAACUAUAACUAAGUACAUUUUUUGAUGAGUAUCAACAGUUUUACCCUUUUCGGGCAUACAAUUUAUUUUAUCUUAAACUAGUUUUUUAUAUUUUAUCUUAAACUAAAUUUUAGUAUUCAUUUAGGUUAAUCGAGUUAUAAAAUUAUUUUAAGUUAUAGAAGACUGUCUAUUAAAAAGUUUUUUAGGCAUCUUUUAAAAGUAUUUCCUUCCAGGCACUUUGUUUCGUUAGGCAGAUGAUUGUAGAUAUUAAUAGCUGAUAUGAAUGUGCUUUUUUUAUAUAUUAAGGUGCUAACUCUCGGAAGUACCAUAUUAUAUUUAUAUUGCGAUCUGACAUUUUCUUUGCAUGAACGCUUUGUGAAAUAUUCAGGGUGAUUUUUUACAAAAAGACUUAAUUCUAAUAUAUAAAUGCCGGUAAGUGUCAAAAAGCGCUU